UACGUAGGCAGCGAGCGUUGUCCGGAGUUACUGGGCGUAAAGAGCGCGUAGGCGGCUUUUUAAGUCUGGUGUGAAAUCUCCCGGCUCAACUGGGAGGGUGCGCCGAAUACUGAGAGGCUAGAGUGUGGGAGAGGAAAGUGGAAUUCCUGGUGUAGCGGUGAAAUGCGUAGAUAUCAGGAGGAACACCGGUGGUGUAAACGGCUUUCUGGACCAUAACUGACGCUGAGGCACGAAAGCGUGGGUAGCAAACAGG
rnacentral:rRNA from 1 species